GAAAAUGUGACUUGGGAAGAUUCCUAAGAAUAAGGCAUAACCUAUACGACUUAUGUCAUAUUUCUAGCAGGAAAACUCAGCUAGUGGGGAGAGCAGUCGUAUGGUUAGGACUGUCUCAAAACCAAAUUCACCCAAUACGAAUUCAACCCGUGAACACUGCCGCUGCUCACUGCUCCACUUGUGCCCUCAUCACUGCCUUCAUGCCCCAGUGCUCUGGGCCAGUUGACGACUCCCUCUACAUCCCUACAUACUCUCUGCUGGCCGGCUGCUGGGCCUUGCUUUGGCCAGGGGGCCACAUCACGAUAAAGGCUGGGGAAUGUAGAGUCACCUGCAGCCUGUUCUGCCAAAAUAUUCAGUGGAAGACUGAGCCACGCUGACCUCGGACAUGAGGAAAAGAGAUGUGGUAGCAAUCAGACUAAGGAGUCACCUACUGCUUAGGUGGAUUGUACCUGGAUUCUAGUGAAAUGAAGAGACGCUAAAGAGAGGGCGUGAGAUGGUGGGAAAAAAAAAAAAAGGAGCCAAAAGGGAGAUGGGCAAGGAGAAGCCCUGUCUUGUCUGAAUGCAACAUGCAGAUGAAUGAAAAGAAGACUGAAUCUGUACAUCCACAUCUUCAAGGGCAGCGACCAUUUCUUAUGCUUCUCUUCAGGACCUCGUUCAGGACCCUGUGCAUUCUAGGUACAAAGGAAAGGAGAUGAAGAUGAAGAAACAGAGGCUCAAGAAAUAAAGUCGCCUAUCCAAUGUUGCUCAGUUGACGGCAAAGUUGAGGUAAAAAG
ensembl:lncRNA